CUCCCUCCCUCCCUGCCGCUCCUCCUCCUCCUCCUCCCGCCCCGCCAGGCUCGGCCCCCGAGGUUCCCCCGCGCCCAGGGCAGCGCCGGCGGCACCGCGGCGCCACCUCCCGGUACCACCGGGGCGCACAGACCGCCUGACCCCCAGCGGGGUCGGGCCCGGGCAGCGCUCCCGGCUCUCCCAGGAGGGCAGAAGGACGGCAGGGAGGCGCUGGGAAUGCCAGAUCCAUAUCCCCCCGCCGCGGGGCUGCGGCACCCCCGCGAAAGGCCCGAGAAGGGAGCGAGGGUGAGCGGCCGUGUGUCCUGUCCUGCUGAGAGACGUGGAUGCAAAAAGGAUGGAUUGUCCUGAUACACAGCUGCAUCUAGGGAUCUGUGCCACAGGGAACAUCCCACAGUUCUCCAUACAACACCCUAUGUGAGGAAGAAUGGCUUGGAUAGGAGAUACUGGGGAACAGAAUUCCUCACCCACUGGCACCUGAGACCUCCACCCUGAGUCUUCACUCGUCAUGGAAGGAUUAAUUCAGUACUGGGGCAACCAGCAGAGCUCUGAGCACUUGCUUUUCACAGGAGCAUUUCAUGUGUAGAACCAGCAGCUGAAACUGAGCCCCAACACUCCCCACCUACUUAACCUCCAGGUUAUUAAAAAAAACUAUUACCAGCAGAACACUAAAUGACUGCAAUACUUGCAACAUUUAAAAUUACAAGUCAAAAAGUCAGUUGCUGCAUUCCCUAGAAAGUGUUAACUCGCCCUUUUUAUGUACUGUAACCUGUUCUUGCUUCCCUGUUGAGUUUAUAGCAUAAUACACUUUUUUGCAGACUGUUAAAACCGCUCCAUAAAACACCCGACACGUUUAACAAUGUCCAAGUUAAUUAUGAAAGAUUUCAUGGCCUACCAGGUUUGUUAAAUCACAGCUGGUGUAAACCACCAAAGGUCCACUGACUUCAAAGCUGUGCAGUUGUUUAUGCCAGUGUAAUAGCUGCAUCUUUGCCCUUUUUAUUUUCUUCUAGCUCUCAGCUUCUGUCCCAGAACCCCAUAUAGGCACAUUAGAAGCAACUGGAAAGCAGACUCCCUCACCUGCUUCAGUUUACAUCCCAGCUGAGCUGUGAGCUGAACUGAAAGUCAAGAGCAUUAAAUGGGGUGCAAAGCAGAAAUUGCCUUGGAAAUCCCCAGAAAUUCUGUGCUCUGAACAAGAUUUCCCAAGUGCUGUUUUGUCUUCUGAUAAUCCUCACAAGUUCAGCCAAAAAGAUUUUGAUGAUGUACCUAACCUUGAAGCAUCUCUGGAGAUUUUCUGGCUUGUGAUAACCCGCUAACAUUUUUCUCUAUGCUGCUUUCAGAAAUAUUCUUGUAAUACACAACCCUGAAUCACCAGACUUUCAUUACCAUCCUAUUUUACAGAAGUUGCACUUGUAAAGGGUGAAGUUCCACAGCUGACAAAACAUUAGUCACAAAGCAAUAGAACACCAUUUACCUAGUUGCUCUAAAAUAUGUUUCUAAAACUUGGAGCAAUUUUGCUGUGAUGUAAAUCUUUGAGCCACAAUACCUCUUGGAAUGAUUUGUUAACUCUUAAUGGGAAAAAAGAAAACCAAACAGAACUGUUACAUUUCAGAGAAGCUUGUUUGAAUUUAAUUCUCUUCUUAAUGUUGCUCAUCUGAAAAAAUAACAUGGAUAAUGGAAGGAAGAGCCUGUUAGUCUCCUACAAUCCAUGAGCUGCCUCAGCACAACUUCUGAAGUCAAUCUAAGAACAAAUGUCCUCCAUGCUCACAAAGCUCAAGCUGAACCACAGAAGCUCAAAGCUAUUCUGGCCUAUCCAAACUCUUAUGCUGCUUAAUCAAUGAUUAUAAUAAGCAUUUCCCAACAUCAUUCUCUUGAAAAAAACCCCAAAACAACAGAGCAGCAUUCUCCAGGAACUAAGAGCAGCCUGGGAUUUGGGAUUUAGGGGAGAGCUACAAACGGCUCCACUGAUGGUCCUGGCACUCUGAGGCAAGGAAAGCACUCAAGGGUAAAGCACUUGGCUGUCUGGGAGGCAAUCUGCUCUAACAGGGUGCCUGCUGAGCAAUCAGAAACAACAUUUACCAACCUCCCCACCAGAAGACAUUGCUAGAAGCAAAAAGACAUUGUCAGAGAAAGGUAGGAGGCUAAACAGAGGAGGAAAAAUGGCUUUUAUGAGACCACCACGGGCUACACGUUGGUAUUUAUCAGCAAAACAGCCAGCAGGAGGAGGAGAGGGAGAAACAGCCAAUGUUUGGCUAUUCCAGAGUAUUCCUUACUCCCCUUCCCUAUCAGACUUCAAUCUCCACAACACCCAAAAGUCCUCUCAUUUUAGGAAAAGGGAGAUGAAUGGGACUAAUGGGUCAAAGUGAGAGGGCCCAAUCACACUUUGGUUAUAGGCAUUCCAUAGCUGUGGUGAGAGUUCAAACAGGCCCUUGGAAAGCAAAGAGCAAUUUAUCUUGCAAUUGUCUUUUUAUGGGAUUAUGCAAGGGUUUCGAUGAAACAGCUGAUGAUGAAUUUAGGUUUCAACACUCGUUUUCCCAGCGGCCUUGUAAAUAUAUAAAAGGUCGUGACACAGUUGGAAAGAAGGAAGAGCAAUUAUUGUAAAGAAAGCUCAUGCUCCAGAGCAGCCAGCAGCUACAGAACUACAAGCACAAAGCUAAGAGUGAACAUCAUAGAUUGAAAUAAAAAGAUACCUUGACUUCUCUACACACAGUGGGAUUUGCAGCAGUCAUAGGGAAUACCUGGCAUGUGAUCAUUUGAAUUAAUAUUCCCUUAUCAGUGUUCCCACUAUUUCACAGACUAUCUGCAAGCAGAUGUACUUUAACUGACAUCUACAUUCAGAUUAAUUUGGUAAGCAAAUUUAUUUUUUCAGCAGAAAAACCAGGAAUAAUAGAUGUCAUUUGCUUUUACAGUGCCAAGAAGAUGUUAAGUGAUUUAUAAACUUGUAAUACACCAGGAAUUCAAGCAGGAGUGUGGCCUUGUUUUGCCUGUACACAUUUUGAGAGGUUGGGACUGUUUGUUACCAUCCAAGUCAGUGACACAGAAAGGAAGUUGCUCAAAAUGAGCAUUAUCACUCCCCUAAGAGACCACGAUCUUACAAGAAGCCUUAGACAAGCUGAGACCAGAGUCCAGAUUUCCAAGAAACCUAAUCAAAUACCAUGUUCUCCUCCGUGCCUCACAACACUGAUAAAAACAAAAAGAGAUAUUUUAGAUAUGAUGCAAUAGCAGGAAUCAGAGCCUUGUAGGGUGGGGGAAAGGAUCUUGUGAUCAGUGUCAUAUAAACAUCAAUCAGUGGCUGGUGUUUGAUAAAUAUUGGUAUAUUUUAUUGUCAGUAAAAUCCUAGUCAUUGAUACCAUCUCCAAGCUGGCAUAAUAGGAGUUAUUUUUGAAGGAGGAUUGGAAUUAAAGCAUAGCUGUGUUGCAGACUAGUUCAGGAAAAGUCCAUAAAAUAGAGGAGAAACAGGAACGUGACUUCAGCUUGGCAUUUCAAAGUCAUCCCAAAUUCAAUAACAUGAGCUCAUCACCACGGAGCCAGAGCAUGUCAGUCCUGCUGCAAACCCAAGUGCCUGAUCAUGUACAGCCCUGAUCCUCCUUGGCACUUCCCUGAUUUCCUCGGAGCUGGAGGUACUGAUUGCUUUCGGGGAUCGGUUCAUAAAAGGGGAUUUUCACAGGCAGAAAUGGGACACGGGAGCUCAAGAGGCCCUUAGCACGGGCCUUUUUACAUGGAAAUGAACGAUUAGAAUCUGUUUUUGUCAGGAGAUACAAAGUGCUGCCGUGUGACUGCAUUCUCACAAAGGGUGGCUCUGCAGCCUGGGAAGCAGUUAUUCCAGAGUCAGAGCUCCUUGCCUUUUCCACCGCUGUUCACCAGGGAAAACCUCACCUAAAAUAAGGACCUUGCAAGCUAUAUUUAAUAUCUAAUUGCACCAUAUAACAUUGCCUUAAAAAAUGCCAGCUUUGUUGUAGAAAAAUAGAAACCACAGUAAGUUUUGGCAGUGGGGACACAGGUAUUGGUUUGGGACAAGUUUACUUCCCCGGUAGAAAACUUUCCUUUUAACAAUUUCAUGGAAAUAGUCAGGCCUUUUAAUUAUAUAAAGUGGACUAGAAAGGUGAGGAACUAAAUGAACUAAGUCCCAAGAUUCCAUGACUCUGUGGCCUUGACUUUUCUAUAGGGAAAUUCUCCACACCUGAGACCUCCUUACUUAAUAUUCUCAGCAUCUUCCUACACCAGGGAAGUACAUGGACAUCUCAGCCCAUCCCCAGGCCCCAAUAUUGGACAUCAGAGCAGCUCAUUACUGAAACACCAGACUGCUAAUACAAGGGAGUAAUUCCAGUCAGCAUGUGGGAGCAUGGAAGGACUUCUGGAGUCAACUAGCAAGUUCAACCCAAACUGCCAAGAUAAAAGACUUAUUUUUGUACAGCAGGAUAACCCAGCAGUGCCCUAACAAACUACACUCACUGGUAGGAAAUGGCUGAUUUCCAAUAUGCCACCAGUCUCUUGAUUUCCUUCCUGAGCUAUUUUGGGAUAUAAUGGAUCCACGCAGACUUUGGAAGAUUUUAAAGUCC